CGAGCUGCAGGAGGCCGCGGGCGCGAGACUGGGAAUGCGCAGGGCCCCCGCCUGGCUCUACAAGCCCGGGCCGCGGCCCCCGCCUUCCCCGCCGCCUCCCGGCGCUCCGUGCCCGCCCCACGAGGCCGGCGGCUGCUGCUACCUGGGGCCGUUGCUGCUUGUGCCGUGAGCGACGGCCAGCCAUUGUCCCCGCCGCUCCGUCAGCCGCGCCCGGCCGCGCGCGCACCGGAAGGCGCAUUGGCGUCUUGCGGGCUCCGGGCCGGGUGGGCAGGAUGGCCUCCACAAGCCGCAUGGCGCGCAUGGGGAGCCUCCGUUGAUGCCGCCGCGCCGCCCUCCGAGGCUGCAUCCGCGGAAGCCCGGCUCCCCGAGCGCUCCGGCCCGGCCCGGCGCCCCGGACCUGAGUGCGUCCCCAUGAAGGCGCCCGGGCUGGCCCAGGCGGCCGUGGCAGAGGAGACCCCGGACUGGGCGCCCGAGCUCUGCCCCAGCCCCGAGUCGCGGUCGCCGGAGCCGCCUGCCAACCGCCUUCAAGACUUCGACACGCUGGUCACCGUGGGAAAGCAACUAGAAGCCAUUUGUGUCAAGGUAACGUCUGGAGAAACAAAAGGUCAGGAACGGCCAACGUCCCUACUGGCCACAGUCCAGCCCCAAUCUGCAAGACAGAGCCAGCCGCCCCGGGGGAAUUCCCGCCUGGUGGGACUCCACGUCACCAGCCCCCAGCUGCUCAGGGUACAGCCCCUCGUGAGAACCGAGCCACAGUCAUGUUUCCUACAUCAGCCUCCUGCUCAGGGGUUUGUACAGAGACCACUGCCAGCCCUCUAGGUGGUCCCUGCAAAGAGAGUCCCAGCUCCCAAGGCUCCAAAUGGACAGGGCACCAUGUUGACCCCUUCGUUGGCCUCCAGUUCGCCGACUGUAACAUGUUUCAUCCAGUUCAGGACGUUUAUUUAUUUCCAACUUGCAUACAAAACAUACUGAGAAACUAAAACCAUCGUUAAAAGUGAAGACACGUUGAGACAGGUAUCUCGACCUGCCAAGUAUACAGCUAAAGCUGAGUUCAUAAAAAGGGAUGAUUUGGCCGACGGUCAUCUGCCAGAUUCUGAUG
rnacentral:lncRNA from 1 species